GACGAACGCUGGCGGCGUGCUUAACACAUGCAAGUCGAGCGGUAAGGCCCUUUCGGGGUACGACGAGCGGCGAACGGGUGAGUAACACGUGGGUGACCUGCCCUCAGCUCUGGGAGUAAGCCUGGGAAACCGGGUCUAAUACUGGAUAUGACUCCAUGACGCAUGUUGUGGGGUGGAAAGCCUUGUGCGGCUGAGGAUGGGCCCGCGGCCUAUCAGC
rnacentral:rRNA from 1 species